AUGAUUAUACUCUCCACAACCGAGCUCCUGUUUUCUUCAAUUGUCUCUGCUGCAACCCUGACCAUAGCAUCCAUAAGCAUUGGCAUGACAUGGUCUUCGAUCAUAGCCAUUAUGUUAUCCUUUCCCCUGCAGUUAUAUCAGAACAUUAAACAUGUCAGAAUAGACCAUCACCUAAAUAGAUCAGAGUGCAUUGGUCUGCAUAAACAUAUUUACCAGGUUGCUCACCUCUCCAACUUCGACCAUGCUGGAUGUUGCAUCUUCACCCACUCUCGCUGCCAUCAUCGGGAGCCACCUCAUAGGAAGCCCACCCAUGCUCCCCUAUGGCCUUAUCUGCAAUACAAAACAGACAGAUUGUAA
rnacentral:rRNA from 1 species